UAUUACCGGGCACGGAGAUUGAGAUAUGACAAGUGGAUGAGCUCAUUGGACUGGAGGUAGAGCCCAAUGAUGAUUCGCCUAGCCCGCCUAAACCCGCCUAAUGACCGUGUAAUCCACUUAAUGUCUGCAUAGUCCGCCAAAUCUUCCUCACCGCCUAAUAGAAUCGAUUUUAAGAAAGUCGAAGCGGUACAUGAACGCCU
rnacentral:sRNA from 1 species